rnacentral:rRNA from 1 species
CCGAGGAAAAGAAAUCAACCGAGAUUCCCCCAGUAGCGGCGAGCGAACGGGGAGGAGCCCAGAGCCUGAAUCAGCAUGUGUGUUAGUGGAAGCGUCUGGAAAGGCGCGCGAUACAGGGUGACAGCCCCGUACACAAAAGCGCAUGUGCUGUGAGCUCGAUGAGUAGGGCGGGACACGUGGUAUCCUGUCUGAAUAUGGGGGGACCAUCCUCCAAGGCUAAAUACUCCUGACUGACCGAUAGUGAACCAGUACCGUGAGGGAAAGGCGAAAAGAACCCCGGCGAGGGGAGUGAAAAAGAACCUGAAACCGUGUACGUACAAGCAGUGGGAGCACCCUUUGGGGUGUGACUGCGUACCUUUUGUAUAAUGGGUCAGCGACUUAUAUUCUGUAGCAAGGUUAACCGUAUAGGGGAGCCGUAGGGAAACCGAGUCUUAACCGGGCGUUAAGUUGCAGGGUAUAGACCCGAAACCCGGUGAUCUAGCCAUGGGCAGGUUGAAGGUUGGGUAACACUAACUGGAGGACCGAACCGACUAAUGUUGAAAAAUUAGCGGAUGACCUGUGGCUGGGGGUGAAAGGCCAAUCAAACCGGGAGAUAGCUGGUUCUCCCCGAAAGCUAUUUAGGUAGCGCCUCGUGAAUUCAUCUCCGGGGGUAGAGCACUGUUUCGGCUAGGGGGCCAUCCCGGCU